rfam:Pteropus alecto contig88550, whole genome shotgun sequence.
GUGCCCACUUCAGCAGCACAUAGACUAAAAUUGGAAUGAUACAGGAAAGAUCAGCAAGGACUCUGAGCAAAGAUGACAUGCAAAUCCAUGAAGUGUUCCAUAUUUUU